rnacentral:rRNA from 1 species
ACAGCAGCAGCCGCGGGAAAACAGAGGGUGCAAGCGUUAAUCGGAAUUACUGGGCGUAAAGCGCGCGUAGGUGGUUCGCCAAGUUGGAUGUGAAAUCCCCGGGCUCAACCUGGGAACUGCAUCCAAAACUGGCGAGCUAGAGUAUGGUAGAGGGUGGUGGAAUUUCCUGUGUAGCGGUGAAAUGCGUAGAUAUAGGAAGGAACAUCAGUGGCGAAGGCGACCACCUGGACUGAUACUGACACUGAGGUGCGAAAGCGUGGGGAGCAAACAGGAUUAGAUACCCGAGUAGUCCCUGUCUCUUAUAC